rnacentral:rRNA from 1 species
AACGCUAGCUACAGGCUUAACACAUGCAAGUCGCGGGGCAGCGGGAGUGAAGCUUGCUUCACUUGCCGGCGACCGGCGCACGGGUGAGUAACGCGUAUCCAACCUUCCCUUAUCCACGGGAUAGCCCGUCGAAAGGCGGAUUAAUACCGUAUGAGGUCAUUUGAUGGCAUCUGAUUAUGACGAAAGGUUUGGCGGAUAAGGAUGGGGAUGCGUCCGAUUAGCUUGUUGGCGGGGUAACGGCCCACCAAGGCGACGAUCGGUAGGGGUUCUGAGAGGAAGGUCCCCCACAUUGGAACUGAGACACGGUCCAAACUCCUACGGGAGGCAGCAGUGAGGAAUAUUGGUCAAUGGGCGAGAGCCUGAACCAGCCAAGUAGCGUGCAGGAAGACGGCCCUAUGGGUUGUAAACUGCUUUUAUGCGGGGAUAAAGUGGGGGAUGCAUCCCUUUUUGCAGGUACCGCAUGAAUAAGGACCGGCUAAUUCCGUGCCAGCAGCCGCGGUAAUACGGAAGGUCCGGGCGUUAUCCGGAUUUAUUGGGUUUAAAGGGAGCGUAGGCUGGAGAUUAAGCGUGUUGUGAAAUGCCGCGGCUCAACCGUGGCACUGCAGCGCGAACUGGUUUCCUUGAGUGCGCUGAAAGUGGGCGGAAUUUGUGGUGUAGCGGUGAAAUGCUUAGAUAUCACGAAGAACUCCGAUUG